CGGAGCCGCCAGUCACGCCUGGAGUCCGCGCGCGCCUGCCCCGGAGGGACGCCUGAGGCGAAGCGCCAGAGCGUGGCGGGGACCCUGUGAGGAGGGUCCGCCGAGUCCGGAGGACAGGGGGGACCCGGGCGCGCCUCAAGCAGAGGUGGCGGCGAGUGCGGAGGCCCGGAGGAGGGAGGAGCUCACGCUCUUGCGGCUGGAGGUGGGCGAGAGAGGGGAGAUGGACGCCGCGAGGCCCGGCCCAGUGGCGGGUUCUCGGAGGAGAAGAGACGGUGAGGGACCGAGAGGACGCCGACGGGCCAGAGGGCAGUGGGCUCCUCGCCGAUGGGAGGGGCCUGGUGAGGCCGAGGCCCCAGGGCCUAACGAACCACGGGCGCCGGGAGCCUCCGCGGCCAGGCGAGGGAGAGGGCCAAGCGAGGGCGUCGAGAGGCGCCCCGGAGAGCCUCCGCUGCGCAGGGGGUCUCUGGAAUUCGGGGCACCCAGAAUAAGUUACAGGUAGAAGGCCUUGACAGUAGAGGGGAGAGGGAGAAAGAUGGAGGCAGAAUGGGUGACCAAGCUUGAAAGGGACAGCUGGGGUGGGUGGAGGUCGGGGGAGGGACGGCGGGGUGGGGGGCCAGAGCGCCCGCAGGCGUGUACGGCAGAAACCAGGGCCUGAGAGGAGAACAGAGAGCGUCCCACUGGAGAAACAGCGGACGUGGAGGGGAAGAAGGCCCAGAGGCGCUUCUCCGGAGCCCGCCACGGCGCCAGCGUCUCCUCAUGUGCCCCUCGGAAGCCUGUUGAGAAACGAGUGAAGACGACACAUCAGUAAGAUGAAUGGAUAUCAAAACACCAGCCUUGCCACAGAUAAAAGCUAGUAGGAGGAUGUGGCUUAGAUCUGCAAUCAAGAGAGCUGCUGAUCAACCCCUAAAUCAGACAAACAUACCUGGACAACUGCAGCCUCUGGGCUACAGAGCUGCCCCACCAGGCACCAGUCAGCCAAGUGCGGAUGAGAUGCCCAUCAACCUACAGACUCCACAAAGUUGGCCCAGAGGAGGCUGAGCACACUUGACCCUGUCUGUUCUCCCAAAUUCACCACUUCAUACUUCCCUGGGAGUAGAAAAGAGGCUGGAAGUUUCUUCCAGGAAAGUCCCUCCAUGUGGAAACAAAGAGUGGGAAUAAGGGUUCCACCCUACAUGGACAUCUCAAACUCUGAGUCUUACCAUGCUAAAGGAGGGAGGAAGUUUCAACUGGAGCAGAGUUUGAGUUUUGAUAUUUUAUUGGACUGGAUUUUUUAUGAGCAAAAUAAUAACCCUCUCCUUUUUAUCUAAGAAGGAAGGAAAAACCUGUAAAAUCCAACUGAGAAUUCAUACAUAAGAGUUUCUAAAGGCACUCAUGAGAAAAAAGAAUGCUUCUCUCUUCUUGCACCCUACCAGUUCCAGCUUGUUCAAUAAACUGGAUACAAAAGACUCCCAGGUUUUUGGCCUGGACCACUGAGCAUGUGAUGGUGACAUUUACGGAAAUAGGGAAGGUUUGGGGGAAAAUUUCAGCUUAGAUUGGGGACAUGUUAAGACAUUCAAGUGGAUGUGCUGAGUAGGCUGGUAUUCAGGAGAAAAGACAAGGCUAGAGAGAGAAAUUUGGUAGCCAUCUGUUUUCAGGUAAUGUUUGAAAACAAAGUUGGAUGAGAUCAACUAAGGAGUGAGUAUUCCAACAAGAAGAGUUUCCAGGAUGAGUCCUGGGGCACCAACUGUUUCUAGUCUAGAGGAGAAGGAGUGGCCAGAGAGAGGAGAAAAAGCCAGGGACUGUGGAAUCAGGGAAGCCAGGUGAAGACGUGGUGAUCUGUACAGAGGUUUUAGAAGGAUUGCAAAGUGAGGUCUGAGAAUUGAUGAUUAGAUGUGGCAAGACAAUUUAUUGGUGACUGACAAGAGCAAUCACAGGAAACAUGAGAAAAGCCCCGUGGCAGAGUUGGUUUUUUUUUUAAAGGGAAAUUUCCAGUUAAACAUGUCAGAUGGCACAGGCGUUGACUUCCAUUUCCCACCCAAACCCUACUCACAUAAAUUAAUAAAUGAGAUAAAAACUCACAGGGAAAGAAUGGGAGAGAAGGCACCAGUAAGGUCAGACCAGAAAGGUCAACAAGAUUAUAGAGCCUGGGAAUGUAAAGUAAUAACUGACUCAGCAAGCCAGAGAAAGCUGAAGUCUUUUUGUGGGGGUGAAAGCAUAAAGAGACCAUUCUUGCCAACAAAUCCCAGGAAGGUGUAGAAAUUGGAAGAACUGGUAGAAAGUUGAAUAAGGAGCAGUGUGAUGAUAGAUCCUUUGCCCCACUUUGGUGGAAGCCUGCAGCAGUUGAGUCAGUUGAAUUCAUGCACAAGGCAAUAGCUGAGGGCCACUGAAAGCACUGGACUUGAGUGAAAGUUUAUACUCCUGUAGGAGCCCAGUCCCACUUCUCCCAGUCAGCCAUAUAGCUUCAGGCAGUAGGAGGAUUUCUCUGAAGCAAGAGGCCCCCAAAAAAGACCUGCACACAUUGGCCAACUUGGACCCAGUGGAAAAGCAGAGAAGCUGGCAGGCUGUAUUCUUGACACACAGCUUCCAACAAGCUUCUCAGAGCCCCACUGUCAACAUAAGCCAAGCAUUUAAGGAAAACCUCUACCACAAAAGACAGCAAAACACACAGAAACAGGAAAUUUUGAGAAAUGGAGAUGAUAUAAGGUGUGGAAGAGGACUUUUGACAAAAACAUGUGCUCACAGAAAUAGGAUUUUGCACCCAUGAAACAAGAACCAUCUGACACACUCUUUCCCUCCCUGCCUUAUUUUUCUCCCUGUUUAUCACCAACUAGCAUACCAAAUAUUUUGCAUAUUUAUCUUGUUUACUGCCUGUCUAAAAUAUAAGCCAAGCAAAGGCUGAAAUUUAUUUGUUGCCGUAUCCUCAGCACCUGGAAUAAUACCUGGCAUAUAGUAAAUACUCCAAAAUGAUAUACUGAAUAAAUGGACGAAUGAACAGGAGUCUCUAAAUAGAAAACAUUACGAAAAAAGACUCAGAAAUGAAAAAUAUGGCAGACUUUAAAAGUCACUAGAAUAGGAAGAUAGAGAAAUUUUAGGAUAGUUGGAUAAAAAGGAUGUAAAAAAAAAUGAAG
ensembl:lncRNA